rnacentral:rRNA from 1 species
AUGGUUGAAAGUGGAACAACAGUGAGCAUUUCAACAUACGGUAUAAUUCUUGGAGAACUUUGUAGGAAUAAUUGCACUGAGGAAGCAAUCAUACUGUUCCACAAAUUAGGUGCAAUGAACGUGAAGUUCGAUAUUACAAUAUUCAAUACCAUGAUUGAUGCAAUGUACAAGGUUCGAAGAAGAGAAGAAGCUAACAUUUUGUUUGCUGCAAUAUCUGCCAAUGGAUUGGUACCUAAUGCUUCUACCUACAGAAUAAUGAUAACAAAUCUUUUAAAAGAAGGAUCAAUGGAAGAAGCUGAUCAUAUGUUUUCAUCAAUGGAGACGAGUGGUUAUGCUCCCAGCUCCGUUCUAUUAAAUGCUAUCAUCAGAAUGUUGUUAGAAAAAGGUGAGAUAGUCAAGGCUGGAAAUUAUUUGUCUAAAGUUGAUGGGAAGAGCAUCUCACUUGAAGCUUCAACUAGUUUGUUGAUGUGGCAUCUAUUUUCAACGGAAGGAAAAUAUCAUGAGCAAAUAAAAUCACUCCCUGAAAGGGCAAACGGGUCCCUAAUGAAGGGAUUUUUGAGAUUGCUGAUGCUAUGUUCAUUUAGUGGACAUUCGAGCUCAUAUCGGAGUCUCAUACUCUAUGCUGUCAGUAGCACCGAUGGAGAUUGUUGA